rnacentral:rRNA from 1 species
UACGUAGGGUGCAAGCGUUGUCCGGAAUUAUUGGGCGUAAAGAGCUCGUAGGCGGUUUGUCGCGUCUGCUGUGAAAACCCGAGGCUCAGCCUCGGGCCUGCAGUGGGUACGGGCAGACUAGAGUGCGGUAGGGGAGAUUGGAAUUCCUGGUGUAGCGGUGGAAUGCGCAGAUAUCAGGAGGAACACCAAUGGCGAAGGCAGAUCUCUGGGCCGUAACUGACGCUGAGGAGCGAAAGCAUGGGGAGCGAACAGG